rnacentral:rRNA from 1 species
AAACAUCGCCUCCUGCAGUAUAUAGGAGGUCCAGCCUGCCCAGUGACCAAGUUAAACGGCCGCGGUACCCUAACCGUGCGAAGGUAGCGCAAUCACUUGUUCUUUAAAUGAGGACUAGUAUGAAUGGCAUCACGAGGGUUACACUGUCUCCCACCUCUAAUCAGUGAAACUGAUCUCCCCGUGAAGAAGCGGGGAUAAAACUAUAAGACGAGAAGACCCCAUGGAGCUUCAAACCCGGCAUCAACCAUUAACAUUAAUACCACAUUAAAUAAAUGGACCUGACUGCUGGUUUUAGGUUGGGGUGACCGCGGAGCAUAACAAAACCUCCAUGAUGAACGACCUCCUCUCUAAUCCGAGAGCCACCACUCAAAGAAUCAAAAAAUUGACAUUUAUUGACCCAAACUAUUUUGAUCAACGAACCAAGUUACCCUGGGGAUAACAGCGCAAUCCAUUUCAAGAGCCCCUAUCGACAAAUGGGUUUACGACCUCGAUGUUGGAUCAGGGUAUCCUAGUGGUGCAGCCGCUACUAAAGGUUCGUUUGUUCAACGAUUAGAACCCUACGUGAUCUGA